UGCGCAAGCGCGAGAGCGUAUUGCUAAUUAAUUUUUCUGGCAAGCACGUUUUCGUCUCCGCUUCUCUACACGCUUAGCCGUCAGAUAAAUUUCCGAUAAGUUUUAAUUUUUUAUCAACAGUUUUUAUAAAUUUAAAAGUAAACUUGAGAAAAAGGAGACGAUGACCAUGGUGGAGAAUAACCAGAUACAUGACUGUAUCAUUUAUAAUACAAUAUCACCUCUUCGGAAACAUGAUGUACACGUUGCUGGGUCCGUGGUAUUACAUGCGAUUGCACACACGCGACUAACAACUAGAUUCGAGAAAAAUUCUAUCAACAAUCAGACACCAGAAUCUUCUGAUGACGAGGAGAAAGAUUUCUGUAAUCAAAUCGAAGAUGAUCUAGAUUAUUUGAGAUCUUUGGAUCCAAAGGAUUGGAAAAAUCAAGAUCAUUAUGCUGUUCUUGGGAUUAAAAAAUUCCGACAUGAAGCGAGUGAAGAGCUUAUCAAACAAGCAUAUAAACAAAAAAUACUCAAACAUCACCCGGAUAAACGUAAAGCAAUGGGCGAAGAAGUACGGGCAGAUGACGAUUAUUUUACAUGUAUAACUCGUGCUUGGGAGAUGUUGGGAAAUCCAGCUAAAAGACGUAGUUAUGACAGCGCAGAUCCUGAUUUUGAUGACAAUAUUCCAGACGAAAAAGACGCAAAAAAUCAUUUCUUCCGUACAAUGGGUCCAGCUUUUAAAUUAAAUGCUCGCUGGUCUGUUAAGCAACCUGUACCUCAACUUGGUGACCUAGACACUCCAAGAGACAAAGUAGAACAUUUCUAUUCAUUCUGGUAUGAUUUUGACUCGUGGCGAGAGUACUCGUAUCUUGAUGAAGAAGAAAAAGAGUCUGGACAAGAUCGUGACACAAGAAAGUGGAUAGAAAAAAAGAACAAAGCUACGCGAGCGAAACGAAAGAAGGAAGAGAUGUUACGAAUACGCUCGUUGGUUGAUAUUGCUUAUUCACAAGACCCACGGAUCAAAAAGUUCCAGCAGGAGGAUAAAGACAGAAAGACAGCGAUGAAACGGGCUAAGCAGGAGGCUGCCAAAGCACGGCAACAAGAAGAAGAGAGAUUGACUAGAGAAGCGGCUGAACGUGAACGGGUUGAAAGAGAAAAACGUGAGUCCGAAGAGAAAGCACGACAGGACAUUGCUAAACAAGAGCGCGAGGCUAUGAAGAAAGCUUUGAGAAAGGAACGUAAAGCUUUGAGAGAUAUUUGUAAGUCCAAAGAAUAUUUUGCUGAAAAUCCGACCGAGAGUAUAAAACACAUGGAAAAUGUUGAAAAAAUUUGUGAGUUAUUUAAAUUGAAUCAAUUGGAGGAAGCGACCAAGGAAUUGCAGACUGGUGGACGUGAAGCUUUUCUGAGGAUUGUCGGACUGACUGAAAGUAAAAUGGAAGCCGAACGUCGAGCCGGUAUUUCUAAUCAAGCGUCAGAUUCGAAAAAUGCUCUGGAGAAGCAGGUCAAGGCUCACUUAAUACCAUGGUCAGAGCACGAUCUCCAGUUGUUAAUUAAGGCUGUGAAUCUCUUUCCCGCUGGUACAAAUCAACGGUGGGAGGUAGUUGCUAACUUUAUUAAUCAGCACUCAAAUAAUGGGAUCACUCGCGACGCUAAAGAGGUUUUAGCUAAGGCUAAAGAUCUUCAGUCGACAGAUUUCAGUAAGUCGAGUUUGAAGGAGCAGGCUAAUAAAAAGGCAUUUGAUAAUUUUAUUGCCGAGAAAAAAAGUAAAGAUGCCAUUGACGAAAGAAUGCCUGCAGUCACUGAGCGAUUGGAUCCACCUGUUACUAAUGGUACGUCGAGUGAAGCGAAGGCUCAGGAACAAAAAUCUCAGCAACCGUGGACCCCGGCUGAACAGAAACUUUUGGAGCAAGCACUUAAGACUUAUUCUAACGUCGCUGGUCCUGAGAGGUGGGAUCAUAUAGCUGGAUGUAUCCCAUCUAGGACUAAAAAGGACUGUAUGAGACGCUAUAAAGAACUCGUUGAACUAAUUAAGGCAAAAAAAGCAGCACAAGUUACUAAAUAAUGAAAAAUUAUCAACUAGCUUAAUAAGUAUUACAAAAUGACAAAUUGCUCUAACGUUUAUGCUUGAUACUGUAUGGCGUCAAUAAUUUAAAAACCAUAAUUGAAUUAUAUCAUCAAGUACAUCUUUGAUGAUUACGCAUUUCUAUGUGCGUAUGUACAUUGCUAACUUUGCUUAUAAGUACUUGUGAGAAGAGAAUAAAAUAAGUAGUAUUUAGCUAUCACGUGAUACAAUUAACGCAACAGCAGUGUGUACUUUAAGCAGUUGAAUUUUCAACAUCUAAUACUUCAUUUUAAUUUAUUUUCAAUAUGUAAGUAAAGUAAAAUAAACAAUAAAAAAUUUUAUUUCUGAAAACAUGG